rnacentral:lncRNA from 1 species
CCGCGCCGGGUUCCGCGCUGCGUCCAGGCCCGAGAGACGCCCCGGGCCGAGCCGACCGCCGCCGCGGAUCGAGGGAGGGAGCCCGGCCUCCUCACCGUUCAGGAGAGCUGAGGAUGUCAGACAGGCCACAGCCCCUCCAGACGCCCUAUGGGAUAAUCCGUCCUACCUUUGCCUCAGGUAGCUGGGACCACAGGCACCUAACACUUCCAGCUUCCGCGUCCUUGGCUGCAGCCCCAUCGCCCCCUCCCGCCCCCACAUCCACCAUCACGCGGCUUCUCCUGUGUCUCUGUCUCCGUGUGCUGCCCUUCUUAGGAUGCCAUCGCGUUGGAGCGGGACCACCCAGCCAAUGACAUCCGCAAUGACCCUAUUCCCAUGCCACAUUCUAAUAGACCAGCGGCUACGACUGGAUCCUAUCUGUUUGGGAACCACCAUUCAGCCCUGGACCUGUGUGGGGCUGAUAGCCCCCAGUGCUGGCUCCCCCAGGCCACCCUGCAACCACCCUCAUCAUAGAUGCCACGACAGUGGAGGCCAAGGGCCCUUCCUGGUGCCCCGGUGAGUGGCAUGGCCAGGACCUGACCCUCCCAUGCCUCUGUGGCAGAGCAAGGUGGGUGGGGAACUGGCUGUCCUGCUCCCAGCGGCAUUCCUGGCACCUAUGCCCCGCCCAGCCCAGAGCAGAUGUCAACACACAUCUGGGUGUCAGGCAGCCCCGUGUCACUGAGUGGGGUAAACAAGGGAGGGUGAGAGGAAGGUCAGAAGGCCAUGGCUGAGGGCGUAGGUGUGGGCUCUAGCUCUUGCUUCCCAGAACACAGACUGACCUUGGUGGCAGACCUCACCAUGGGAGCCCCCAAAAGCUGCUUGCCUGGGGCCUCCAGGCCUCUUGCGGGGCCCUAAAAGCACAGGGAUCCAGGACAAGAGGUGCGGGGGCCCCCGCCUGGGCACCAGCCUGCAUGGGCCAGAGCAAGCCACUUCCCCUCAGGUUUGGGGAAUGCCUGAGUCAGACCUGCAGAGGCAACUUCUCCAUCUGCCUGGCUCCCAAGCCCUGUGGCAGGAGGGGAGCCAAGAAAUGAAAGGGCCCGGUGGGUGUGGACGGGCCCUGUUUCCAUCUGGACUUGGCCAGUGCCUGUGGCACGCCCUGCUCUGUCCCUGGGGCACCCGGGCAUGUGGCUCAGCUGAAAGGGUGACCAUGGGCACCAUCUGCCUGGCUUCCAGGUCCUGAGGCCGGAGAGGAGCCAAGAAAUGAAAGGGCCUGGUGGAUGUGGGUGGGCCUCAGUGUCUGCCUGCUCCAGGAGGAGGGGGGUGGGCACUGACUCCUGGUUGAGGGCUGGGGGCAGGGAGGCUCCUCUGGACAGGAAGAUCCUCCAGGAACAGACCAGCAAGACCGGCACUGUCCAGAUGGGACAGGAGCCGGACAGCGGCGUCAGACACGCCCCACAGCGGCCACAACCACAGCCACUUCCCAGAGGUCAAGACCUGGAGGCUGGCCGGGCGUGGUGGCUCACGCCUGUAAUCCCAGCACUUUGAGAGGCCGAGGCAGGCGGAUCACAAAGUCAGGAGAUCGAGACCAUCCUGGCUAACAUGGUGAAACCCCGUCUCUACUAAAAAUGCAAAAAAUUAGCUGGGCGCGGUGGCGGGCGCCUGUGGUCCCAGCUAAUCCAGAGGCUGAGGCAGGAGAAUGGCGUGAACCCGAGAGGCGGAGCUUGCAGUGAGCCGAGAUGGCGCUACUGCACUCCAGCCUGGGCGACAGAGCGAGACUCUGUCUCAAAAAAAAAAAAAA